rnacentral:rRNA from 1 species
UACGUAGGGCGCAAGCGUUGUCCGGAAUUAUUGGGCGUAAAGAGCUCGUAGGCGGUUUGUCGCGUCUGCUGUGAAAACCUGAGGCUCAACCUCGGGCCUGCAGUCGAUACGGGCAAACUAGAGUUCGGUAGGGGAGACUGGAAUUCCUGGUGUAGCGGUGGAAUGCGCAGAUAUCAGGAGGAACACCAAUGGCGAAGGCAGGUCUCUGGGCCGAAACUGACGCUGAGGAGCGAAAGCGUGGGGAGCGAACAGG